CGUUGUGACAACCCGCUGUUUGCUAUCAGCUGGCUGCACUGUUUUCCUCUCUCCCUCGGCCCCUCCCGUCCUGAUGCACUCUUAGACACGCCCUGUAAUACACCGUUCUUCCAAUGGACUCACCUGAUUGGUUGCCUGGUUCAAGGUGUUGCCCUACUGCGGGGGUAAAAAUGGCAGUCUUUCUCCAGACCCGGUGAUAAAAGCAGCACCGCAGACAUUACACCAGCGAUUGACGCUACUUAUAGGAAUAAAAAAUAAAGAAAAUAAGACCGAGGCUGCUUAAAACCCUCGAGUACUUGUAUUUACGUUCCUUCGUCACGCUGAGUGGCUAUCCUGUACAAAAGAGUGAGAGAAGACAAAACGAGUCUCCCACACUCCUACGUGGCAAAGCGGAAGUCCUGAGGCGGUGACGUCAUCCGAAAAGAAAAAAAUUACCUGUAAGUCCUGGCACUAAAUUAAUACUACUAAAAUUAAAUUAAUUGUGCUCUAGAAUAAAGUUAAAAAAAUAACUUUUAAAUUUGUCCAGUGCAGAGGGAGAAGAAAACAAAAAAUACGGAUACCUGAUUCUGGUCAUUGAUACUUCCAUCAUUUGAUCUCUCUUGCUGUGGAGCGAAAAAAAAAAGGGUACGGGAGUUUUUGCCUACCCCUAUUAUUUGGACUUUGAAAAGAAAA